rnacentral:rRNA from 1 species
UUCGCAAUGCCCGAAAGGGUGACGAAGCGACGCCGCGUGGGUGAGGAAGGCCUUCGGGUUGUAAAGCCCUGUCAGGAGUUAAGAAAUGUAGGUACGCUAAUAUCGUGUCUAUUUGACAAAGGCUCCAAAGGAAGCCACGGCUAACUCUGUGCCAGCAGCCGCGGUAAUACAGAGGUGGCAAGCGUUGUUCGGAAUUAUUGGGCGUAAAGAGCACGUAGGUGGAUUUGUAAGUCAGGUGUGAAAGCCUUCUGUUCAACGGAAGAAUUGCAUCUGAAACUACAAACCUUGAGUGUAGGAGGGGAGAAUGGAACUUCUGGUGGAGCGGUGAAAUGCGUAGAUAUCAGAAGGAACGCCGGCGGCGAAAGCGAUUCUCUGGCCUAUUACUGACACUCAGUGUGCGAAAGCUAGGGGAGCAAACGGGAUUAGAUACCCCGGUAGUCCUAGCCGUAAACGAUGGGCACUAAGUAGAGGGGUUUU